UUGUGACCCAGAUUCUCCAUUGUAAAAACAAUUCGUGACCACUUGACACUCGUUGUAAACGCUGUUUAUUGCUGUUGUGAUCCACUGUUUUCCCUCAUCACGAGGGCAAAGAUGACAUGAAGCCUGUUGUGGUUCCCGUUCUAGUCCUUGUCAUCACGUUUUUACCACAAAACACAGCUGACACAAAAACCAUUAAACUUGAUGGAAGUUAUUGCGCAAAGUCCAAGUCCAGUUACCCAGAGAAGCUCAACCCUGAUGAUACUGUAACACUUACAUGGAACUCUCCUUCAAUUGAAACAUGUGGAGCAUAUUUCAAAAGUGUAGGGGAGGACAGCCAAGACCUGUACAAGUUGUGUGUGAGAACUCUUUCUUAUCGAGUCAAGGACUGCGAUGUUGAAUUGACAUACUCACAAGGAAGCAGCAUUGCAAAGGCCUAUACCUGUUACAGCACUCCCUCUACAUGGUGUACAGAUGCAGGGUCUAACCUUAUUAUCCGAGUCAAGAAAUCAUCCAGCUUAAUAGAUAGGAUCAUCCCAGACCUAAUAAAACCAUCGACAACAGCGUCCCUGACACUGGAAGUAUACACUGAGGAAGUGUAUACUGUUGGCACUUAUGCUAGGCUGGGUAUGAUCAUAGGAGCAGCAGGAGGUGGGUUAAUUGGAAUAGUGAUAAUUGUUAUAUUCAUGGUGUGCAUCAUCCAGCACAUGAGAAGUAAACGAAAACAACGAGAAGACACUAACAAUAGACGUCGAGGUCAAGAUUUGCCGAUGUCACAGAGAGCACACUUAUCAAGAGCAAAUGAUAAUCUGAUCUCCCCGUCCUCGGUGAGGAACUCAGUUGAUGUAAAUAUAGAUGAGGAUGAAUACAAGCUUGAUCCAGCUGAUCUUCCUCCUCCAUCUUAUGAUGAAGUCAUGGCCUUGGAGACAGAAGCAGCAAGACAAACAGUGUAGAAUCAUCACCCAAGAAAUAGACAGCUCAUAUUCAACAGCAAAACAUCAGCACAUCAUCAUGGAGUUGGAUCAUUUUUCAUCUGUUCACCACCAUUUUCACAACUAAGACAUUAAUCAACAUGAGCCUGUUGUGAUACAGAGAUUGUGAAAACCAGUGUCUGUGAGUUGGUGUACAGCUUUGUAUAAAUGUGUGAAGCAUCUUGUUUUAUUUUGAUAUAUGUUUCGUUAUACCCUGAUAAGGAGUUUAUUUAGCAUAAAUGACCCCGCCCCCAGAUACUUUAUUUCUACCAUCAGGAUAACAUUACAAGACUGGUUUGUAAUAAUACACUAUUAUAUAAAUAAAACCCCAUUUUUGGAUCAUUAGUUAGGAGAAACUGUGAUGUUAGUUCCUCUUGUAUUUGUCAGCAUUGUAUUCUAUAACUUAUAAGUUUUAUGUAAGUAUUUAAAAAAGCUUCAUACAUCCUCCUCCCUCCCAUUAGCAUAUACAAGCAUUAGAGGUGUAAGAUUAGAACAAUCUAAUGAUGAUUUCUUUUUCAUUUCUGUUGAACUUUACAAUGAUUAGAUUAUUUUUUGUAAAUCAAACGUAACUUGAAAUGUUUGUGGAAGGCUUCUUUCAUGUGUCCUUUUGUAUUGGCCUUUUGUCCUUUGUUGAGCAGUGUUUAUCUUGCAUACAUAAACAACUAAUAUUUUCUACUUAAGACCCACAUGUUCGUGUUGCAAAGUCACUAGUAACAAAACUGUGAAUUCCGUGACCACAAGAUUUGACUUUAUCCCUGGGGAGGGUGAUAAACUAAGUGUGAUUUGUAUUGAAAGGUGAUGAUAAAGAUACGCACUUGAACACGUUUGAUAAGGAUGUAAUAUUAGUUUGAUGAUAUGCAAAGUUUGACCCAAAUGAUUUAAGAGGUGUGGUCUAAUGGGCUGGGUCCAUAGUUUUGUUACAUUUACUCAGCGUAUGGGAAUGUUACAUGGUUUCUGGUCAGUCAUGUGUUUUACUUCCCAGUAACAUCAUUUGAAUUCCAAUUGAGUGGUCUAAAUUUACUUCCUUUACUAAAACAAUUUCUAGUUUAACGUGAUUUGAAUAUCACACUUGUACACAUAUUGGGCUAUGUCAAACAAUGACUCACUUCAUUUUGUCAGCUUUUCAAACAACUUAGAAGGCUUUAUUUGGAAGAUGCCUAUUUCUGAGAUAUCUCUAUAACACAUGCUUGUGAUCAGUCGUACCAUAUGUCCUAAGCAUUAAGCUUUCACCUUUUGAGUACACAUUUAAUUGAUGUAAUUCUGAUGUGUAUAAAUAUCUCAUUUGUUCAGGUUUCACACUAUUGCAAAUGUAAUAAUUUAGUUUGGGUUAUAUUUUUUUCCUCCCUUUUUUUAAUCUAUUUUUGCUCUUGUAUCAUACUCUCCACCAUUUUACAUAUUUGUAAAUAAUGAGAAAAUCAAAUAUGAUACCACUAAAACAUUAAAAUUUCAAUGUUUAUUUAAAAAAAUAAUGUGAAACUGAAAUGAUUUGUUAUAUGUACAAAACACAACUCAUUCCAUGAUAGAUCCUAUUUCUGAUGUACAUGUAUAGAUUGUCACUAUUUUGUAUUACUUGUAUUUUAUGACAGGUGCUGGCUUUUAAAACCAAGUAGCUGUAUGAUGAUUAUGAAUGAAUGUUAGGCUGACAAAUCCCUGUCUGGUUUGCUCUUUACUUUGGCUACUUAUUCAUUUGCUUUGCUUUUCAGUUUCUAACAAAAAAAUUGCAUGCAUAUUUUGUUAUUUUGUCCAGUUAGAGGUGAAUGGAAUGAAGAUAUGCCAACCUUGUGUCUUGAGAGUGGACAUUGUAUCAUUAUUCUCUGAUUUAUUUUUUGAUACUUAAUGUUGAACAUUCCUUACACAAUCCCUCAUGACGUAUAGGUACCUGAAAACUUCCAUAUUACAGCAUCCCCAGUAAAUAGGAGUUAUGUUUAUAACAGAAGAAUUCAUUACUGUAUAGCUAGGUAUUUUUACACAUCUGAAUAUUCAUGAUUUUCACUAAAAACAUAAAAACCAAAUUUUCAAGGAAUUAGAAUUUCUGGAAUUGAAGAUAUAAGAAUAUAUAAUUUUUGUAAGUACCACUACGUUGUCAAGUAAAUUGCUAGCAUUAUUUUGCUUUUUAACAUUGAUUAAAAAAAGUUUACAGUUAAAACUAUAUUUGUCAGUCACUAUAUCUGUCAAUCACUAUAUCUGACAGUCAACACCAUGUCAAUAGGCUAUCAGAUUGAUUUUUACCAAUUAAGUGUGAUAGCACAUAUAGUAUGGGACAGAUAAUUGAUACAAAUAUCUGAUUUGGAAUAUUUAAGUUGUAACUAAGAUGAGGAAGAGACCUGAUGGUAUUAUAAUUACGAGGUAAAAGUGAUUCUUUUUUAUGCUGAUGUUGAUGUGCUUUAAAGAAUAUUUUUGCUGUACAAUAUUUUUUGACAGAGAUAUAUAUUUUACAAAGUGUAAAUUGUAAAGGUAAAUUGAAUGUUCCAGUGACAUAUAUUUGACAUCAGGGAUUCAAAUGUGUUGUGAAGUUUUAUUUGGCAUUCUCUUGGAAUGGUUUUAUUCUGUGAUCCUACUGUCAUACAGAGAUGCAUGUAGAUCAAAUCAUAUUAAAAUUCUAGCUCCAGCGCUGUAUGACAACAGCAUAAUUCUGAGGUUGAGGUAAAGGAUUUUGUGACCUUAGCUAAUACCAAGGCUGAAGUCCAGAACUGUGACUCUAGGGUAAUUCUAAGGUUGUUGUCCAGGAUUAUGUGACUCUAGGGUAGUUCUAAGGUUGAGAUCCAGAUUUAUGUGACUCUAGGGUAGUUCUAAGGUUGGUGACCAGAAUUAUGUGACACUAGGGUAGUUCUAAGGUUGGUGACCAGAAUUAUGUGACACGAGGGUAGUUCGAAGGUUGAGGUCCAGGAUUAUGUGACUCUAGGGUAGUUCUGAGGUUGAGGUCCAGGAUUAUGUGACACUAGGGUAGUUCUAAGGUUGGUGACCAGAAUUAUGUGACACUAGGGUAGUUCUGAGGUUGAGGUCCAGGAUUAUGUGACACUAGGGUAGUUCUAAGGUUGAUGACCAGAAUUAUGUGACUCUAGGGUAGUUCUAAGGUUGGUGUCCAGGAUUAUGUGACUCUAGGGUAGUUCUGAGGUUGGUGUCCAGGAUUAUGUGACCUUAGCCUAAUUAUAAAGUUAGGAUCAAGGAUAUUGGGAACUUAGGGUAAGAGUAAAGUCCCUAGCUUCGUUCUGUGGCAGAAUUCCAGGACUGAAUGGAGUCAUUCUAAGACAGGUUUCCGAUAUUGUCUGCUGGUAUCGGGAGGGACUUUUCCUCUAUGGAUUGUAUCAUGUUUUAAUCGUUAUUUAUAUGCAUGUUUGAUCAAUAAACAUUUUAAACUCCUUGAUA